CAUUAAUCAAGGAAAACGGGACGUAGAAAUGGGGAAACUUCAGUCCAAACAUGCGGGCAAACGUAGAGAGAACCCCGAAGGAGACAGUUUUGUUGUGAACGCUUUCCUCCGAAGAGCGAUGGGGGAAUGUGAGAUGUACAGCUCCUC